AUGAACGCUGGCGGCGUGCCUAAUACCUGCAAGUCGAACGCAUAGCGAAAGGUGCUUGCACCUUUCAAGUGAGUGGCGAACGGGUGAGUAACACGUGGACAACCUGCCUCAAGGCUGGGGAUAACAUUUGGAAACAGAUGCUAAUACCGAAUAAAACUUAGUGUCGCAUGACACAAAGUUAAAAGGCGCUUCGGCGUCACCUAGAGAUGGAUCCGCGGUGCAUUAGUUAGUUGGUGGGGUAAAGGCCUACCAAGACAAUGAUGCAUAGCCGAGUUGAGAGACUGAUCGGCCACAUUGGGACUGAGACACGGCCCAAACUCCUACGGGAGGCUGCAGUAGGGAAUCUUCCACAAUGGGCGAAAGCCUGAUGGAGCAACGCCGCGUGUGUGAUGAAGGCUUUCGGGUCGUAAAGCACUGUUGUAUGGGAAGAACAGCUAGAAUAGGAAAUGAUUUUAGUUUGACGGUACCAUACCAGAAAGGGACGGCUAAAUACGUG
rnacentral:rRNA from 1 species